rnacentral:tRNA from 1 species
CCCCUGGAGGACUAGUGGUUAGGCCAUAGAACUCUCACCCCUGCAGCCCAGGUUCGUUUCCUGGCCAGGGAA